GACAGAGGGUGCAAACGUUGUUCGGAAUUACUGGGCGUAAAGCGCGUGUAGGCGGCCCUGCAAGUCGGAUGUGAAAUCCCACGGCUCAACCGUGGAAGUGCAUUCGAAACUGCAGGGCUAGAGUCCUGGAGAGGAAGGUGGAAUGCUUGGUGUAGAGGUGAAAUUCGUAGAUAUCAAGCGGAACACCGGUGGCGAAGGCGGCCUUCUGGACAGUGACCGACGCUGAGACGCGAAAGCGUGGGGAGCAAACAGG
rnacentral:rRNA from 1 species